AAAGGUGUCUUUGGACUCCUAGUAAUAGUCAUCUUCAUCAUUCCUGCUCUCUCUCUCUCUCUCUCUCUCUCUCUCUCUCUCUCUCUCUCUCUCUCUCUUGCUCUCUCUCUCUCUCUAAGUUGCCUUAUGAAAUAAGGGCACACAGGUAAUAAACAAAGCACUAUAAAAGAUCAGAUUGUGGUAUACCGUGGGCUCAUUUCAUUGUAGGAGCAAGGCAUUCUGCUCACCACUACCACCACCACCACAGCAGAUGCCUCGCCUUCAGUGCUGGGGCUAGAGGGUGAGGUGGGAGGGUGUCACUAUACCCCUCUCUUCCCUCCCCCAAGGCCACAUUAUUUGGAAGGGGCUCUGGGAAGUCCUCUUGGUCAUCUGAUCCACACCAGACAACAACCAGUGUCAGAGGAAAGGAUGUCAGGGGACAGACGGGGACCCUUGGAUGUGCUCAUUUGGAUUUUGGAUUUGACAUUAGUUCCUCAGUUUCAAGCCAUGUGUCAGAUCCAGGAGAAACAUGGCCAAGCUGGAGAAGGAAGGUCUGCCCUCCAGGUCUUGGUUUUCUGCAGGAAAAGAGGAUGGGGCAUGGCUUGUGGAAAAGAGGAUGGUACAGAUGGAUGGACCAGAGUAAAGAGCCAGAGAGGAGCCUCCUCUCCAGAGAGGAGAAGAGCUAAUACAGAGCCAACAGAGAUCCUGUGAACUACAGGAAUAUUGAAUCAUGAUUAAGAGAAAAAGGAAUAAGUACACAAUGGGAUAACAAAUGCAAAGUUUUUGUCAACUAUGAAGUUAUCGUUAUCAUCCCAUCAUCUUCAUCAUCAAGUCGGCUCAAGUCUCUCAUGGAUUGGAUUGAAUGGAUUAGAAACGAGUCCAACAAUAUGUUGUUUGCAAGAAACACACUUGAAACAGAAAGAUACACGCAUAGGAGCUGGAGUAGAAUCUAUUAUGCUUCAGUAGAAGUAAAAAAGACAAUCAUGAUCUUUUUUUUAAACUUUUUUUUGGGGGGGAGGUUAGGCAAUGGGGUUAAGUGACUUGCCCAGGGUUACACAGCUAGUAAGUGUUAUGUGUCUGAGGCCGGAUUUGAACUCAGGUACUCCUGGCUCCAGGGCGGGUGCUGUAUCCAUUGUGCCACCUAGCUGCCCCAACAAUCAUGAUCUUGCAAAGUAAAAUCAAAAAUAGACCUAAUUAAAAGAAAUAAUUAGGGAAACUACAUUUUGAUAAAAGAUACCAUAGACAAUGAAGUAAUAUCAAAGAGUUUUUCAGCAAGUUUCUCUGAUAAAGGCCGUAUUCCUCAAAUAUAUAGGGAACUGGAUCAAAUUUAUAAAAAUAGGAGGCAUUCCUCAAUUAAUAGAUGGUCAAAAGAUGCAAACAAGCAGUAGUUAGAGGAAGAAAUCAAAGCUAUCUAUAGUCAUAUGAAAAAUGUUCUAAAUCACUAUUGAUUAGAGAAAUGCAAAUUAAAACAGUUCUGAGGUACCACCUCACACCUAUCAGAAAUGACAAAUGCUAGAGGGGAUGAGGGAAAAUAGGUACACUAAUGAAUUGUUGAUGGAGUUGUGAACUGGUGCAAUCAUUCUGGAGAACAAUUCGGAACUAUGCCUAAAGGGCUAAAAAACUGCAUACCUUUGACCCAGCAAUAUCCCUAUUAGGUCUGUAUACCAAAGAGAUCAAAGAAAAAGGAGAAGGACCUAUAUGUCCAAAACUA
ensembl:lncRNA